rnacentral:rRNA from 1 species
CCUACGGGGUGCAGCAGUGGGGAAUAUUGGACAAUGGGCGAAAGCCUGAUCCAGCCAUGCCGCGUGUGUGAAGAAGGCCUUCGGGUUGUAAAGCACUUUCAGUGGGGAAGAAAGCCUUGGGGCUAAUACCCUCGAGGAAGGACAUCACCCACAGAAGAAGCACCGGCUAACUCCGUGCCAGCAGCCGCGGUAAUACGGAGGGUGCGAGCGUUAAUCGGAAUUACUGGGCGUAAAGCGCGCGUAGGCGGUCUGAUAAGCCGGUUGUGAAAGCCCCGGGCUCAACCUGGGAACGGCAUCCGGAACUGUCAGGCUAGAGUGCAGGAGAGGAAGGUAGAAUUCCCGGUGUAGCAGUGAAAUGCGUAGAGAUCGGGAGGAAUACCAGUGGCGAAGGCGGCCUUCUGGACUGACACUGACGCUGAGGUGCGAAAGCGUGGGUAGCAAACAGGAUUAGAUACCCCGGUAGUC